UAUAUACGUGUAUAUUUGCCAGAAGGUUGAUUCCUUCUUUCAGUCAUGAGCUGUUCUUUAAAUUUGCAUACCAAAUGGCCCUCGCAAGUAAACUGGUGAUAUACUCGUUUGCCCGUUUCACCCAAAAUUAGGAGUUGACUCCUUUCAAAAAUGAGCAGCUCUUUUAAUCUGCAUGUUUAAUAAGUUCGCAAGCAAAGUGUUGAUUUACUCGUUUGCUCGGAUUACCUAACCAUAAGGGUUGAUUCUUCUUUCAAAUAUGAGCAGUUAUUUGAACCUAUAUACCAAUUAACCCUUGGCAUUGUCACAUAACUGAGACCAAGGAUCCGAAGCGGGAUCCUCCGGGUUCCGAUGGUGCGUCGGCGGCCCCUCGCGAGCAAACCUGUGAUCCACUCGUUUGCCCGGAUUACUCAAACGUAGGGGCUAUCAACUAGUUCAAGUCCGACGGAGCGGAGCGAUGUCGGACAGCACCGGGUUUAAAGCGAUGUGGCGUAGCCACAUUAGGCGCCAACGACUAGUAACAGAAAAUUCAACGUAUUUUUUAAAUUAUGUCAAGCGACCAUUAUGCCAAAUGACCAUUAUGCCAAACGACCAUUAUGCCAAAUGACCAUUAUGCCAAACGAACGUAUGUGUCACCUACUGUUAUGCCAAAUGAACUUAUGCCAAAUGAACUUAUGCCAAACGAACUUAUGCCAAACGACGUGCUCCCAAUGUAGCGAUGACGUGACUAUGGUGGCUAGACUGGGUUCGAUGUAAAUCUUCCACAGGGUAGAGAAUGGGAUGUUGUCCAUCUUGAAAUUUCGGAUAAUCGAAUUACUUGAACAUGGGGAUUGGUUCCUUCUUUCAAACAUGAGCAGUAUUUAAUUUUUUAUGCCAAAUAACUUUUGCACUCAAAAUUGUGACCUUAUCGUCAGCCCGGUUUAUUCAAACAUAGGUGAUGAAUUUACCUUUCGAGCUUUCCUUUAAUCUAUUAUAAAAUCAAAAUAAAUGCACAUUUUGACAAAUGUUUUGUAAAUUUUUAGAGCAUUUAACCUUCUUUUGCAAUGGAAAUGUUUCGUACGCAAAUGUAUGAUCCACCCGAUUGUUCAGUUGACUCCAUGUGGCACUAAAUACCUUCGAAAGUAUUUUCAUACCCUAUGCCAAAUGGUACUUAUUCCACAGACUAACAGACAUAAUACUCGAAAACAAUUCUUCGUGAACGUUAGCGGUCAUUUUGAAUAUAUUUUUAGUUAGAACUGCGACCCAAUUUGCGAUUAUGGCGCCACUGACUUAUGCAAGUAAUGCUUCAGAUUUAGUUGGAAGCAUAAAAAAAUAUUUACAGCGACGACACAACUUGCUCCUGUCUGGGCCCUUACAGUCGUAUGACUUGUGGUCUGGCUUCAGACACUGAUAACACCUGUCCACUGAAGGCGGCUGGGGUAUGCUUACUGGGCAUACUGACCAGCCGAUCUUCAGCUUCCCUUUUUCGGUCACCUUUUUGGCUUCCGCAACCGGUAGCUUGAAAUAGACUACCUGCGUGCCAAGCAGUCGCUCCCUUAGGCGUACAGAGGUCCGCUCGAUCUCUACGCCACACUGCUCCUUGACGGCCGAGACGACGUCUUCUGCGUUUGUAACCUCAUCUAGUUGCUUGCACUAGAGGGUCACUUCCGCACCCAACGACCUCACCUGAACGCCGUCUCCCAAGACCUCUUGGGCCAACUUCCUGUACGUCACCCCGCUGGAUUGGCAGGUUUUCACCAACAAGGCCUCUCCUCUGUCCUUGAGCUUCUUCGCGGGUCGAGGUGCUUAGAGCUACUGACCAGCUGCUAUUCGCCCUCUUGUGCCGAUGGCACCGGCUGGCUGGUUACACUUUGCGCCCGGUUGGUGCCUGUCGCCUUCUUAGGCUGAGAAGUCACCUUCUUGGGUCUACUCCCAACGGCAUCCUUCGCACCUUCCAAACGACGUUUGGCCUUUGUGGUUGCACGUCGUUUGGCGUUGCCCCGCGUACCUUCACCUGUUGACUGCGUGGGCCGCUACGCAGUUUUGCCCUCCAAUAAGUUCUUUGUGGUCGUUAAGGCGAAAUCUAUCGCCUCUUGGGCCAUCGUAGCUCCACCGAUGAAGGAGAAGGCCUCGGUUUGGACGCCUUUAUCAGCCUACUCUCUUCCCGCCACCCUCUUCAUAUAAGCUUCCUGUUCUUGUCUUGCGACUCGAACAGUCUGGCGGAGCACCAGCAGGUUCUGUUUCAGUUCCUUGUUGAUGUUCUGCUUUCCGCUCGUAAACUCGAUAAUAUUAUCGAGUUGCUUGACCACCGCCCGCAUCGCGGAUAGUGGUCCGCCAAGUGUGUUGGUAGGGUCAUCUCCUACCACACCUGAAGAUCCCCCGGUACUGUUGGUUGCAUCCCCCUUUGCUCCGCUGUCACCUCCUCUGGGAGGAGACCUCGCCAAACCCCCUUUGGCAAAGGGGUACACCACCUUCUUCAUUUCCUCAUCGUCUCCUACUUUGCUCUCAUUAUUACUAUUUUUAAUUUCACGACUCAUACAAUAUCCCACGAGUAGUGCGAGAAAAACGGUUCGCCACGUCAGAGCACCGCAUUAACGUGGUAAGGGAAUCAGAAUCAGGAUUACUUACACAUUGUAGGCGCAUGCCUACAAUGUUUAAGUAAUAAAGCGGCGUAGGUAUAAAGUGUUAUUUUGCCUCUGGUCUGAUCUAGAUGAGAAGGUAGACUAAAAGUGAUGAUUGUUUUUUUUUUCGUUUCGUUUCGCUCCUUUUAUCGGGUUAUAAUUGAAUUUUAUGUUAGUGUAUAGCCGCAUUAAAUUGUUUUUCAAAUGUUGUGAUAUUAUUUUUUAUUUUCUCGAUUUCCUUCGUCAGCAGGCCUUUUGCUUCUAAUUUCGUUCCUAGACAAAAAGCUGUUUGAUUAUUCGUAAUAUCCAGUAAAGACAUGUAAGGGACAACAACGGGUAUGCAGAUAUGUUCUCUGGUACACGAUAGUAAAUAUGUGUAUAUUCAACUAAACAUUUGCCACUUUAAACUACCUAUUGCGAAAACUUAUUUGCCAAACAUAAGCAUAAAUAUGACUAUUUCGUAACACAGGAUUUAGUUAGCAUAAUAUUAAAGUUAAAGAGGGCAUGCAACUUAUGUUUUUACAUUUGUAAAAGCACGACGAAAGAGUUGAUACUAUGUCGUGUGUAGCAAGUAGUAUAUACAUUUAAUCAGAUACACCAAAACUGUAAAAUGCAAUAUUUUGAGUUCAAGCAAGCGUAGCAGGUUAUAUGAAAGUAUUUUUUUGCGAUUAAGCUCAACUUUCAAGCGUAAAUUGACUUAUCAUCUUCAAUAGCAGUGAUGUACACUCAACAAUUACUAUUGAUUAGCAUUUUAGUCAGCUGAGUCAGUAUCGAUGAGAACAACACAUUCGUUUGUUAUAGUUGUAAGCUAAGUGAAAUGUUGAUGAUCGUUUGAUCGACGGGCAGAAUUAUAAAUCUGUAACGGACAGAUGACGAGUAGCGCCACGAAGAGCUUAAAUAUAUUCAUCCAUAUGUAGAUAUUA